GGGCAUAUGGACCGUACCCGAAACCGACACAGGUGGACUGGAUGAGUAUUCCAAGGCGCUUGAGAGAACCAUGCUGAAGGAACUAGGCAAAUUGCCCGCGUAAGUUAGCGAUAAGCGGACCCAUCUGUGGGCAACCAUGGGUGGGUGGCACAGACCAGGGGGUGGCGACUGUUUAGUAAAAACACAGGGCUCUGCGAAAUCGUGAGAUGACGUAUAGGGUCUGACGCCUGCCCGGUGCCGGAAGGUUAAAGGGAGGAGUGCAAGCUCCGAACUGAAGCCCCGGUAAACGGCGGCCGUAACAAUAACGGUCCUAAGGUAGCGAAAUUCCUUGUCGGGUAAGUUCCGACCUGCACGAAUGGCGUAACGACCUCCCCACUGUCUCCAGCAUGGGCUCAGUGAAAUUGAAUUCCCCGUGAAGAUGCGGGGUACCCGCGGUCAGACGGAAAGACCCUAUGAACCUUUACUGCAGCUUGGCAGUGGCGCCAGGAAGGGACUGUGUAGGAUAGGUGGGAGGCAUUGAAGCCGGGGCGCCAGCCUUGGUGGAGCCAACCUUGAAAUACCACCCUGUGCCUUUCUGGCGUCUAACCGAACCCCGUUAUCCGGGGUCGGGACCCUGCCUGGUGGGCAGUUUGACUGGGGCGGUCGCCUCCCAAAAGGUAACGGAGGCGCGCGAUGGUGGGCUCAAGCCGGUCGGACAUCGGCUGUUGAGUGCAAAGGCACAAGCCCGCCUGACUGUGAGCGCGACAGCGCGAGCAGGGACGAAAGUCGGCCUUAGUGAUCCGGUGGUCCCGCAUGGAAGGGCCAUCGCUCAACGGAUAAAAGGUACUCUAGGGAUAACAGGCUGAUCUCCCCCAAGAGUCCACAUCGACGGGGAGGUUUGGCACCUCGAUGUCGGCUCAUCGCAUCCCGGGGCUGGAGCAGGUCCCAAGGGUUCGGCUGUUCGCCGAUUAAAGCGGUACGUGAGCUGGGUUUAGAACGUCGUGAGACAGUUCGGUCCCUAUCUGCCGUGGGUGUUGGAGACUUGAGAGGAUCUUUCCCUAGUACGAGAGGACCGGGAAGGACGCACCUCUGGUGCACCGGUUGUCACGCCAGUGGCAUCGCCGGGUAGCCAAGUGCGGAAUGGAUAACCGCUGAAGGCAUCUAAGCGGGAAACCAGCCUCAAGACUAGGUCUCCCUAAGGGCCGUGCAAGACCAGCACGUCGAUAGGCCGCAGGUGGAAGUCGGGUAACCGACGUAGCCGAGCGGUCCUAAUCACACA
rnacentral:rRNA from 1 species